AAACAUCCCGGUUAGUAUAACGUGAACCAAAACAAACAGGCGAGCGGCGAGCGGCGAGAGAAACGCUUAUAAUUUCAUCACUAUUUGUAAAUCGAAAACACCUUUGUAAAUCAGAGAUCAGCAAUGGAAGACUUGUUAAACAACCUCACAGGGGUUGCAGUGACAGAACACCCAAACACCCCUUAUGCAGAACACCCAUAUUUUGCUCUAUAUAAAGCCAAGCGAACAGGAUCCUCCCAGGAAGAGAGAAGAAAAAGAGUUCUAGAUGCAAGGAAGGAGGCGAGGUAUGAUCUUCUCAAUCACUUGCGUAAUAUUGAAGAAGAAAAUGCUGGCUCAGAGGGAAGUUCUUCAGAUGAUAGCAUGGAAUGUGAAAAGGAAAGGGUAUGUUAUAGGAGGCCAAAAAAAUACCGCAACUUCCUCAUGCUGAGUGAAUGGUUGGUCGACAUUCCAGAGGACUUUGCCGCAUCAUACCUCUCAGUACAAUGUCCUGUUGGAAAAAGGAGUCUUAUUGUGUCAGCUAGGGGCAGAACGCGAGCCUAUACCAAAGCAGGGGUAAUGGUUAACCAGUUCCCUUCCCUGCUGCCCGGGGGUUGCUACCACAGCAAGAGAAAGGGCUAUGCAUUGCUUGACUGUAUUUGGUCGGAGAAAGAGAAAACCUUUUUUAUACUGGAUCUUGUUGUGUGGCUGAACCAAUCUAUUAUGGAGUGUGAGACACUGUUCAGAUUUGAAUGGCUGAAGUCAAGGAUGUUAGAGGAGACACCUGAUGCCACUGAAAUAUCCAAAUACAAUCCCUACAGAUUUGUACCCUUACCCUAUUACGACUGCUCACCACAGACCCUAACCAGGCUAGUCAACGAACCUCUGCCCUUCUCUCUCGACGGCAUCCUGUUUUACCAUAAGGAGAGCCAUUACACCCAUGGCCCAACCCCACUGGUGGGUUGGCUCAAGGCAUAUAUGUUUCCUGAGAUUUUAGGUAUAAACCAAGUUGCACAGGUGCACUUAUCAGAAAGGCCAGCUAAAUACAUUAGCCUUCCUGCCCACAUUCAGUAUGGCAAGGACAGGCAACAGCAGAAGCAGGAGGCAUUAAACAGAAAGAUGGAGGUUUCAACCGAGAAUAAUAAAAGUCCAAAAGAGAAAACCAAGAAGGUCAGAGAUGUGAAAGAAAAUCAGGAAGAGACCUCAACAUGAUGGAGGUUUCAACUGAAAAUAAAAAGAAUCCAAAAGCGAAAAGCAAGGUCAAAGACUUCAAAAACAACAAGGGAAACAACUUAGAAAUGAUGAUGGAAGUGUCCUCCGAGAACAGCAAAAACCAAAAAGGGAAAAAGAAAGAGAAGACUAAAGAAAGCUCCGGGAACAAAAUAGAAACUAUGGUUUCAUAAUUGUUAUUUUUUCAUAUUCAUUCUUCCAUGAAUAUAAUUAUCUAAAUGUUAUAAAUCCCAGAUAUUUUUUUUUUAUCUUAGGAUAAAUUAAAUCUU
rnacentral:misc_RNA from 1 species